UUCUACGGAAGAGACAGCAUACUUGAAAUUAAAAAAAAAUAGGGCACACACAUGAAAAUAUUACCUUUUGUAACACAAUCUCAUCCAGCUUUUCCAAACCUCAAGAACAUUCAGAAGGGGAAAUGACAACUUAAAACUAACUCCUAUUAUCACAUCGCAAAUGAAAGUCAUUAAAAGACAUCUUCAUAACAGUUACGCUUUCAGGUCAGAAGAUUUAAAAGUACAAGCGAAUGGUAGGAGUUGUACAGGCCUAUCAACACCUUUAAAUGAUCGACUGUCUUUUGCUUUCUGGCUUUACAAGGCGUGUUGCCGUGUGCAUUGUCGAGUUAUUCAUUGGUCAAGUGACUCCUUUUGUUACUCUAAUUCAACUGGUAGAUUUACCAUACAUCACUCGCCAUUAGUUAAUUUCCUUUUACUUAGGAAAAUAAAUAAAAUUUCCGCAUAGCCCCUUACUAUUGUAAAACAAAUCUAUUUUCCCAAUGGCAAUGUAUUGUUUUUGUCACUGAUUUCUCUAUCCAAUAAUGCAUAAUGGAGUGAGGGGUUGUGCGGAAAUUUUACCAAAUAGAUUUACAACACAAUCGAGUAUACAAUAGUAACGCUGUGUAACGCAACAAUAUGCUUUUCCUCGGCCAUAAUCGGUCUCAAACACUAGCACUUAAAAUGCGAGAAAUACAAGUACUGUUGGAGGACGUUUGAGAGCGUUUGGUCAAAGCUGUUAAAGAAGGAUCAAAGCGGCCAUCUAAAUCUUUGAAAGGCUCCAAACUACGACGUACAUCCAAUUUGACCUUCUCGAAAAUCGGGCUCAAAUUACAUACUAAAAGACCGUGAUUACGUUUUUCCUUGAGAACCAUAAAAUACACGACAAUACGUACAAAAAUACUUUUACACAUUAAGAAUAAUUCAAAUUACAUUUACCUAUGGUAAAAGGAAAAGGGAAUGGCCUAACUUUCACGGAAUAUUCAGUCAAAAUCUGGCAAUUUCUUGUGCUUUCACCGCCAUAUUGAAAAUUAAGCUUCCACAAUGCAACGCAAUCGGAGUGCGCACACUGCCUAGUCCAUAAUAUGAUUCCCCACACAUGACGUAUUUACGAGUGACAGUGAAAUCGGCCUGCCCUUUGAGAGCGCUAAGCGAUUUUUAUCAGCCUCUCUGUGGAUAAACAGUCAUUAUUUUUCUACGCAUGGAUUUGGGAGAGAGCAAGGAAAAAGCAAGACUGGCCAUCGUUCAUUUUAGUGAUUAAUCGAUCGGGUGAGUUUUAUUUGUGAAAACUCGGCCCCCAUAGCGGGAGUUCUAACUUCCCUGUCCACACCCUUUCACUGGGGUACACGAUUGGGUUUGAUCAAGUAUUCCAGCACUUUCCCGAAGGUGACUCGCAAUUGUGAGAAACUGCUCAAUUGAUUCAUUUAAAUCUGGCCUAGGACGGCUCAGACUCUGCAGAAGUCGGAAGCUCAGGUAAAUUUCCAUUUCUUUAAUUUUUGCCUAUACUUUCCUCCCAUAAGUUCAUUGGCAAGAAUCGUCUCUUUUUCAGGCGCAUGUUUAAUAGUAGGUGAGUGGUUUUUCUACGGAAGUCUGGUCUUGAUUAUUUCAUAAUCCUUGACGACUGGAUUUUACUUUUUUCCGUUUUAUCUUGGACGACCUUUAUCAACCAGCGAAUAACUCAUCAGUUUUCAUUUGUUUGUUUGUUUGUUUGUUUUUUUUUUUACUUUUUUCAUGAGAAGACUGAGAGAUGAAGUUCUCAAUCUACCACAGCGAAAGGUUUAUAGCCUGCCUGAAUACUACGCUGCCAUGAAAUGACGUCAAAGUACGAGGACAACCACGUGGUUGAAGAUCACAUGGGUGAUCUUUUGAUUCUCAUUGGCCACUUUCGCGACGAACUGUGUUGAAAGAACUCUAUUACGCGGGAGGCAAUACAAGCAAUACGAACAAAACCAAAACAGGAGCAGGCCAAUACGAGUCACAUCAAUGUGUUUCAAAAGAAUACUUUGAUGUCAAAGAGGGGAAACCAGUCCAAAUUAUCUGGAAUAAAUCCUCUAGUGGUGAAGAGCUUCGUGGCUAUCGCCUUGUCCUAAAAUCAGA